AUGAUUAGUUGCGGACGGGUGAGUAACAUUUAGGAAUCUACCUAGUAGUGGGGGAUAGCUCGGGGAAACUCGAAUUAAUACCGCAUACGACCUACGGGUGAAAGGGGGCGCAAGCUCUUGCUAUUAGAUGAGCCUAAAUCAGAUUAGCUAGUUGGUGGGGUAAAGGCCCACCAAGGCGACGAUCUGUAACUGGUCUGAGAGGAUGAUCAGUCACACCGGAACUGAGACACGGUCCGG
rnacentral:rRNA from 1 species